rnacentral:ncRNA from 1 species
AUCUUCGGGGCGGGGUGCGAUUCCCCACCGGCGGUAACAGUCCGCGACCCAUAGGAAAUAUGGCUGAUUUGGUGAAAUUCCAAAACCGACAGUAUAGUCUGGAUGAGAGAAGAG